rnacentral:lncRNA from 1 species
GUUUAAAUAACUUGGGACAAAAGGUGAAUACUAAUUCAGAAACCACUCAGAAACUGACACAGGAAUCUACUUCGAUAUGGCAAACUGCAGAUGAAGUUAGGGGAAAAACCCUUGCUGCUGAAUCUAAAAUAAUACAGCUGGAGAGGAGAGUCCCAUCCAUACAAAGACAACCUGACGAACAUAAGUUGACAUUCGUUAUGAUUGAACUUAAAGAAGAACGGAUGAAUUUGAGGACCAGAGCCCUAUCUGAAUUGGAAAAGGAAAGCUUGACAGAGUUUCAGGAGGCAAUACUAACAUUGGUUGAGAAAGAGAGGUAUUUGGGGGUUAGUAUGACUGCCAAAAAUGUGAAUUUGCUUAAGGAUAACUGUGAAGGAUGUUGGAUUGAGGAGAAGGGGGAUUUGGAAAGAUGGACAAAUCAGAAGUUGUCACUGUUGGGCCGAGUUACUGUGGUGGGGAUGAGGGCUGCUGUGUUGUUGGGGAUGUUGCUUUUGUUUCAAACACUGCAAGCCUUGGAUGGGAUGGAGGGUUUCAGGAGGUGGCAGAGGGAUGCUCCUAGAGUUGUUUGGCAGGGCAGGAAGCCUCGAGUAAAACUUAGGAUAUUGAUGGAUGCCAAAGAAGGAGGAGGACCUGCCCUGCCAGACCUUUAAAUUUUGCUGUGAACUAUCUGCUUUUUGCUGGUUGAGAGAAUGGUUCCUUUUCGAAAACAUUGAAGCGUUGGACAAUGGCAGAUGAAAUUGAUGGACUAUAUGGAAUUGGCGGAAAUGACUGGCAAGAUCCGAGACCAGGGUGAAGAGUCGGUGGAAGAAGAUUGGAAAAAGUUUAAAGACCAUUUAUAGAGAUAUUGUAAAAUUAAGGAAUGUUAGAAAAAUGUUGGAAUGAAAUUAUAUGGCUUUAGCAGAAAUGUCAUAAGGAAUUAGGUAUAGAUAGAUUAAUAGAAAAUUAAAGGAAAAGUAUGGCAAGAAUGUGUUAAGAUAAUUAUAGAACAGAAAACAGAGUAAGAUGGAAAGGAAUUGCUGAAACAAAUAAUAGAAGUAGAAUACAAAAAGGGAGGUGGGAGGAGGUUGCUGGAAAUAAGUGAAUGAAAUAUAAGAUAUUGAAAAUGUUUGAGUUGUUUUUAAACUGUUUUUGCUUGUUUUUGCCUAGGGCUUGCCGAUCAGAAGGUCAUGGUUCGAAUCUCAGCAAUGGGGUGAGCUCCCGUUGCUCGGUCCCUGCUCCUGCCAACCUAGCAGUUCGAAAGAACGUCAUAGUGCAAGUAGAUAAAUAGGUACCGCUCCGGUGGGAAGGUAAACGGCUACCUCGGCGGGUAAAGCGAGAUGAGCGGCGCAACCCCAGAGUUGUCCGCAACUGGACCUAAUGGUCAGGGGUCCCUUUACCUUUACCUUUACUUGAAGUACCAAACCACGAUGUAGCCGUGCUCUUUUCCAUCCCUUUCCAAGAAUUACAACAAUCUGUUCCUCAAAAUGGUUCAGCCUCCACCACCUUUACUGCAGUCAACUGAAGGCAACCAACUAUGCCCUGGGCCCCCCGAUCUUUCUCACUGCCAGUGAAAACUAAUAAAUGAAUAGGAAGAGAACCUACCCAUGUCACACUGACACAAACACCUUGCAUAUGAACUUUGUAAAAUAAAAUAAGAAGCUGAGUCUGUAACCUGAAGCGUAUGUAACCCGAGGUACCACUGUACAAUAUUCUGCUUAUUCAAACACGGGCAUGUUCUCACUUGAAUUCUCUUAUAGUUUCUUAUGAAAUGAUUUUCUUUCACAUCAGCAGUAUUGUCUCUGUUCCUGCACAGGUUUCUGCUUAUUAACAUUUAGUGGCCGCCGGGACCACAUAACACUGGUCCUGAGAGAUCUGCAUUGGCUCCCAGUCCGUUUCCGAGCACAAUUCAAAGUGUUGGUGCUGACCUUUAAAGCCUUAAAUGGCCUCGGUCCUGUAUACAUGAAGGAACGUCUCCACCCCCAUCGUUCAACCUGGACACUGAGAUCCAGCGCCGAGGGUCUUCUGGCGGUUCCCUCAUUGCGAGAAGUGAGGUUACAGGGAACCAGACAGAGGGCCUUCUCGGUAGUGGCACCCACCCUGUGAAACACCCUCCCUUCAGAUGUGAAGGAAAUAAGCAGCUAUCCUAUCUUUAAAAGACAUCUGAAGGCAGCCCUGUUUAGGUAGGGUUUUAAUAUUUAAUGCUGUACUGUUUCUAACACUUGAUUGGGAGCCGCCCAAAGUGGCUGGGGAAACUCAGCCAGAUGGGCGGGGUAUAAAUAAUAAAUUAUUAUUAUUAUUAUUAUUAUUAUAUCAUGAUCUUCCUCUGUUUUACUUCAGAUAAUUCAGUGGGGCCUCUUCUCAGUUCAUUCUCUUCUGGAUCAGUGCCUUAAUCCUUUGUAGAUUCUGUAUAUCACAGAAUAGUCAUUGAGGUGUCCCCAGAUGUUGUUGUCCAGUUCCCAUCACCUUCAGCCAGCAGGGCAGACAGUCAAGGAUGAUAGAAACUCUAAUCUGGACCUCACCACCUGGACUCUGCUGCCCUAUAUCCUUCCCAUUGAAACAAAUGUGAAAAUAAAUUUUGGACGCUAUAGAUUUAUCCUGGUCUGGUGCAUGCAAUGUCUUUUGUUUUGCAGCUGUGUGAUUUGUGCUCGUAUAGUGGUGGCCAUUGGCUAAAAACAAUAAAACGAUUUUAUUUUUUUGGGGUCCUCA